UACGUAGGGUGCAAGCGUUGUCCGGAAUUAUUGGGCGUAAAGGGCUCGUAGGCGGUCCAUCGCGUCGGGAGUGAAAAGCUGGGGCUCAACCCCAGUCCUGCUUUCGAUACGGGUGGACUAGAGGUAGGCAGGGGAGAACGGAAUUCCUGGUGUAGCGGUGAAAUGCGCAGAUAUCAGGAGGAACACCAGUGGCGAAGGCGAGUCCCUGGACAAAUCCUGACACUGAGGCACGAAAGCUAGGGGAGCAAACAGG
rnacentral:rRNA from 1 species